AACGCUAGCUACAGGCUUAACACAUGCAAGUCGAGGGGCAGCAUGAAUUUACUUCGGUAGAUUUGAUGGCGACCGGCGCACGGGUGCGUAACGCGUAUCCAACCUUCCCGUUACUCCGGGAUAGCCUUCCGAAAGGGAGAUUAAUACCGGAUGGUGUUCAAGUGGUGCAUAUUAUUUGAACUAAAGAUUUAUCGGUAACGGAUGGGGAUGCGUACCAUUAGAUAGUAGGCGGGGUAACGGCCCACCUAGUCUACGAUGGUUAGGGGUUCUGAGAGGAAGGUCCCCCACACUGGAACUGAGACACGGUCCAGACUCCUACGGGAGGCAGCAGUGAGGAAUAUUGGUCAAUGGCCGGGAGGCUGAACCAGCCAAGUAGCGUGAAGGAUGAAGGUUCUAUGGAUUGUAAACUUCUUUUAUACGGGAAUAACACCAUCUACGUGUAGAUGUCUGCAUGUACCGUAUGAAUAAGCAUCGGCUAACUCCGUGCCAGCAGCCGCGGUAAUACGGAGGAUGCGAGCGUUAUCCGGAUUUAUUGGGUUUAAAGGGAGCGUAGACGGGAUGUUAAGUCAGUUGUGAAAUGCUGUGGCUCAACCAUAGCACUGCAGUUGAUACUGGCGUUCUUGAGUGCGUAUGAGGUAUGUGGAAUUCGUGGUGUAGCGGUGAAAUGCUUAGAUAUCACGAAGAACUCCGAUUG
rnacentral:rRNA from 1 species